AUUGAACGCUGGCGGCAGGCCUAACACAUGCAAGUCGAACGGUAACAGGAAGCAGCUUGCUGCUUUGCUGACGGGUGGCGGACGGGUGAGUAAUGUCUGGGAAACUGCCCGAUGGAGGGGGAUAACUACUGGAAACGGUAGCUAAUACCGCAUAACGUCGCAAGACCAAAGAGGGGGACCUUAGGGCCUCUUGCCAUCGGAUGUGCCCAGAUGGGAUUAGCUAGUAGGUGGGGUAACGGCUCACCUAGGCGACGAUCCCUAGCUGGUCUGAGAGGAUGACCAGCCACACUGGAACUGAGACACGGUCCAGACUCCUACGGGAGGCAGCAGUGGGGAAUAUUGCACAAUGGGCGCAAGCCUGAUGCAGCCAUGCCGCGUGUAUGAAGAAGGCCUUCGGGUUGUAAAGUACUUUCAGCGGGGAGGAAGGGAGUAAAGUUAAUACCUUGGCUCAUUGACGUUACCCGCAGAAGAAGCACCGGCUAACUCCGUG
rnacentral:rRNA from 1 species